UCCUGUCUCAUCAGUGAGAUUAUUGGCCUA
rnacentral:piRNA from 1 species